CAAAUCAUAUAGGUCGGACUCUUGCGACACAUGGUUGAAAAUGCUAAUGUCAACCCACUAUCUUAUAUAUAGUCCCUAAUGUUUUCCUUUUAAACUUUACCCAAUCUUUCUCUUCUAUUUUAUCUGGUUUAGAUGGUUUAGAGACACGACCAUCGGGGUUGUCGUCAUACUGUUCUCAGGUGUUGUCGCCGUCGCUACCGCGCAAUAACUGCAUAACCACCGGGCCCUCCUCCUUUUGUGGUCUGGUCAAAGGGUGAAGAAUUGUUGUUGGAUUCUGAAAAGGAGGAUGAUCAUAUUCAUGGAACGCGGCGCUGAAUUCGUCGUUGUCGGCCGCUGUUGUCGUCGAUCUGUCUUCCUCUUUCUUUUCCCUCUUUGUGGUUCUGGUGUCUCUCUCUCUCCCAUUUCUGACCCCCCCCCCACCAAACAAGCAAAAAAAAAAGCAAGAAAAAAAAGGGAUAAUAGGAACUGAGAGUGUAAUGGCUGAAAUCCUGACUGAAAUUAUGGAAAGAUUUAAUGUUUGUAAAGAACCUGGAUUACCACUCUGAAACCUCCCAGGGUUCUAUGGCCAUCCUUUAAGCUAUAAUUCCUGAUGUGAAUUCCUCUCUUGAAGGCGUGCUUACUCAGUCCGAUUAUUAGCUUGAAAAAAAAGCAACAAGAGCCUUGCAAAAACAAGUACUUGAUGGUAAAGGGCUCCCUACAGAAGCACGCUUGUUUGUUGUUGCUGUUAUUAUAUUGUUGUUAUUAUAACUUAUAAAUUUAGAAUCUAUAUUUAAUUUUUGUAAUUGUUGUCGUUAUAACUUGCAUGAUGGUUGUUAAUUAUAAUAUUUUCAGAUGUAGUGUUUUGUGGUAUUACCAUAUUAUUGUUGUAGUAUAUUUUUUCUUAUAUUCUAUUUCGAGCUACUGCUCUUAUAUGAUAAUUGUUAUAAUUUCUUUUUAGAUCUGUUGCCUUUUGGUACUAUAAUUUUGAUUUUUUAAAACAU